GACAGAGGGUGCAAACGUUGUUCGGAAUUACUGGGCGUAAAGAGCGUGUAGGCGGCCUGAAAGGUCAGCUGUGAAAACUCGAGGCUCAACCUCGAGACGUCGGUUGAAACCAUCUGGCUAGAGUCCGGAAGAGGAGUGUGGAAUUCCCGGUGUAGCGGUGAAAUGCGCAGAUAUCGGGAAGAACACCCGUGGCGAAGGCGGCACUCUGGGACGGUACUGACGCUGAGACGCGAAAGCGUGGGGAGCGAACAGG
rnacentral:rRNA from 1 species